rnacentral:rRNA from 1 species
AUGCUGGAGGUAUCAGAAGUGCGAAUGCUGACAUAAGUAACGAUAAAGCGGGUGAAAAGCCCGCUCGCCGGAAGACCAAGGGUUCCUGUCCAACGUUAAUCGGGGCAGGGUGAGUCGACCCCUAAGGCGAGGCCGAAAGGCGUAGUCGAUGGGAAACAGGUUAAUAUUCCUGUACUUGGUGUUACUGCGAAGGGGGGACGGAGAAGGCUAUGUUGGCCGGGCGACGGUUGUCCCGGUUUAAGCGUGUAGGCUGGUUUUCCAGGCAAAUCCGGAAAAUCAAGGCUGAGGCGUGAUGACGAGGCACUACGGUGCUGAAGCAACAAAUGCCCUGCUUCCAGGAAAAGCCUCUAAGCAUCAGGUAACAUCAAAUCGUACCCCAAACCGACACAGGUGGUCAGGUAGAGAAUACCAAGGCGCUUGAGAGAACUCGGGUGAAGGAACUAGGCAAAAUGGUGCCGUAACUUCGGGAGAAGGCACGCUGAUAUGUAGGUGAAGCGACUUGCUCGUGGAGCUGAAAUCAGUCGAAGAUACCAGCUGGCUGCAACUGUUUAUUAAAAACACAGCACUGUGCAAACACGAAAGUGGACGUAUACGGUGUGACGCCUGCCCGGUGCCGGAAGGUUAAUUGAUGGGGUUAGCGCAAGCGAAGCUCUUGAUCGAAGCCCCGGUAAACGGCGGCCGUAACUAUAACGGUCCUAAGGUAGCGAAAUUCCUUGUCGGGUAAGUUCCGACCUGCACGAAUGGCGUAAUGAUGGCCAGGCUGUCUCCACCCGAGACUCAGUGAAAUUGAACUCGCUGUGAAGAUGCAGUGUACCCGCGGCAAGACGGAAAGACCCCGUGAACCUUUACUAUAGCUUGACACUGAACAUUGAGCCUUGAUGUGUAGGAUAGGUGGGAGGCUUUGAAGUGUGGACGCCAGUCUGCAUGGAGCCGACCUUGAAAUACCACCCUUUAAUGUUUGAUGUUCUAACGUUGACCCGUAAUCCGGGUUGCGGACAGUGUCUGGUGGGUAGUUUGACUGGGGCGGUCUCCUCCUAAAGAGUAACGGAGGAGCACGAAGGUUGGCUAAUCCUGGUCGGACAUCAGGAGGUUAGUGCAAUGGCAUAAGCCAGCUUGACUGCGAGCGUGACGGCGCGAGCAGGUGCGAAAGCAGGUCAUAGUGAUCCGGUGGUUCUGAAUGGAAGGGCCAUCGCUCAACGGAUAAAAGGUACUCCGGGGAUAACAGGCUGAUACCGCCCAAGAGUUCAUAUCGACGGCGGUGUUUGGCACCUCGAUGUCGGCUCAUCACAUCCUGGGGCUGAAGUAGGUCCCAAGGGUAUGGCUGUUCGCCAUUUAAAGUGGUACGCGAGCUGGGUUUAGAACGUCGUGAGACAGUUCGGUCCCUAUCUGCCGUGGGCGCUGGAGAACUGAGGGGGGCUGCUCCUAGUACGAGAGGACCGGAGUGGACGCAUCACUGGUGUUCGGGUUGUCAUGCCAAUGGCACUGCCCGGUAGCUAAAUGCGGAAGAGAUAAGUGCUGAAAGCAUCUAAGCACGAAACUUGCCCCGAGAUGAGUUCUCCCUGACUCCUUGAGAGUCCUGAAGGAACGUUGAAGACGACGACGUUGAUAGGCCGGGUGUGUAAGCGCAGCGAUGCGUUGAGCUAACCGGUACUAAUGAACCGUGAGGCUUAACCUUACAACGCCGAAG